rnacentral:rRNA from 1 species
GUCUACUACCAUACCACCAUGAACGUACCUGAUCUCGUCUGAUCUGGAAGCUAAGCAGCGUUGGGGCUUUGAUAGUACUUAGAUGGGUGGAGAACCAUAGAACCUGGAAAANN